CCUACGGGUGGCAGCAGUGGGGAAUAUUGGACAAUGGGGGCAACCCUGAUCCAGCCAUGCCGCGUGUGUGAAGAAGGCCCUCGGGUUGUAAAGCACUUUCAGUGAGGAAGAACGCCUGGUGGUUAAUACCCAUCAGGAAAGACAUCACUCACAGAAGAAGCACCGGCUAACUCCGUGCCAGCAGCCGCGGUAAUACGGAGGGUGCGAGCGUUAAUCGGAAUUACUGGGCGUAAAGCGCGCGUAGGUGGCUUGAUAAGCCGGUUGUGAAAGCCCCGGGCUCAACCUGGGAACGGCAUCCGGAACUGGCAAGCUAGAGUGCAGGAGAGGAAGGUAGAAUUCCCGGUGUAGCGGUGAAAUGCGUAGAGAUCGGGAGGAAUACCAGUGGCGAAGGCGGCCUUCUGGACUGACACUGACACUGAGGUGCGAAAGCGUGGGUAGCAAACAGGAUUAGAUACCCCGGUAGUC
rnacentral:rRNA from 1 species